ensembl:snoRNA
AGAAGUGGAAAGUUCUGCUUGUGUUCUCACACUGACUGUACACAAAGAGGAAGCAGAAUCAACUUAUCCUGUGUACACCUCAGUUCUGGUCCUGUGCUUGUUCUCUGGGUCUGAACUGGACAUGGGAAGACGUGG